UGGUUGGCACAUUUCCAAUGUAUUUUCUAUCUGACUUCUUAAUUUUCUUAAAAUUCCCGCACGUAUAUUUAUUUAUGGACGGAGUGAGCACGGUUGUUCCCUGAUUAAUAAAGUCGUGCACUAUUUGGAAGUAAAAAGAGUCCGUGAUGGUUCCGACAACUCAUAUUUUUUUUUCUUGGCCUACUCUACACUUUUAGUUUUUUUAGCUUUUGCUUUUUUGACUUUUAAUUUCAAUUUUUUAUUUGAAGCUUUUAAUGUUUAAACUUCUCAUUUUGAACCUUUUAUUUCUGACUAAUUAUAUUUUAUAGAAUUUUAGAAAGCAAAGAAAACUAACCCGUCGCCGUAGACUCCUCCGGCGGUUUCCCGGCGGCGAGGGCGAUGGUGGGGCACGGAUCUGGCCCUUCGGUGAUGAGCGGCGUCAGAUCCAUGCCAGUAGCGGAUCCACGACGACAGUCCAUGGCGGCGUGGAUCCCGGCUAACCCGGGCCAUAGGAAGGCUCGGGCGGCGCAGAUCUGGCCCUCCUGGUGGCUCGUGGCGGUGGAUCGGAGCUCUUCCGCCAGAAACGGCGCGUCAGCACGCACGGAGAUGAAAAGCACGGCAGGGAAGAAGAUGGCGCGUGUGGGGGAGGUGUGUGCGGCGGCGCUCGCGAGGAAGAAGGCGGCGCGUGGAGAGAAGAGGGGAGGGGUUGGGCGUGCGA
rnacentral:lncRNA from 1 species